rnacentral:rRNA from 1 species
AACGAACGCUGGCGGCAUGCCUAACACAUGCAAGUCGAACGAGACCUUCGGGUCUAGUGGCGCACGGGUGCGUAACGCGUGGGAACCUGCCCUUAGGUUCGGAAUAACUCCCCGAAAGGGGUGCUAAUACCGGAUAAUGUCUUCGGACCAAAGAUUUAUCGCCUUUGGAUGGGCCCGCGUUGGAUUAGCUAGUUGGUAGGGUAAAAGCCUACCAAGGCGACGAUCCAUAGCUGGUCUGAGAGGAUGAUCAGCCACACUGGGACUGAGACACGGCCCAGACUCCUACGGGAGGCAGCAGUGGGGAAUAUAGGACAAUGGGCGAAAGCCUGAUCCAGCAAUGCCGCGUGAGUGAUGAAGGCCUUAGGGUUGUAAAGCCCUUUUACCCGGGAUGAUAAUGACAGUACCGGGAGAAUAAGCUCCGGCUAACUCCGUG